ensembl:lncRNA
GCAGUUUGUGAACUAUUGAGCAAGCGAGCAAAGGGUUUUGGCAGCGUCCCUCAUUUUAGUGAACUGGUGGACUGUGAGCUUCUAAGCUGCAAAUAUACUGUUGCAGUGAGUAAAGGGAAGUCAUGACAACCUACAGACAGUCCUGGGCCUGAAUCAUGAGCUUGUUCCAGUGUCACACAAAUACACGGUACGUCAGUCACCACACAAGAGAAGUUGGCCGACCUGCAGGUACCGCAUCAAAACGGUGUCAAAAAGAACAUGAUGGAACCCAUAACGAGAUGUUCAUGUAGUGUAAACGGCAUACAACGAGCUGCACCAUAGGUGAGACAUUGUCCAACAUCUCAAGAGCGCACGUCUUGUUUCCCCUGCUUAGUAAUUAAUAGAAUGGUUGAUUAUUAACUCAACGCAGUCUAAUUGAGCAAACAAAAUGUUUUGUUUGUUUGGUG